UACGUAGGGUGCGAGCGUUGUCCGGAAUUAUUGGGCGUAAAGGGCUCGUAGGCGGCUUGUCACGUCGGGUGUGAAAGCCCGGGGCUUAACCCCGGGUCUGCAUUCGAUACGGGCUAGCUAGAGUGUGGUAGGGGAGAUCGGAAUUCCUGGUGUAGCGGUGAAAUGCGCAGAUAUCAGGAGGAACACCGGUGGCGAAGGCGGGUCUCUGGGCCGAUACUGACGCUGAGGAGCGAAAGCGUGGGGAGCGAACAGG
rnacentral:rRNA from 1 species